rnacentral:rRNA from 1 species
AUUGAACGCUGGCGGCAUGCUUUACACAUGCAAGUCGGACGGCAGCGCGGGCUUCGGCCUGGCGGCGAGUGGCGAACGGGUGAGUAAUACAUCGGAACGUGCCCAGUAGUGGGGGAUAGCUCGGCGAAAGCCGGAUUAAUACCGCAUACGACCUGAGGGUGAAAGCGGGGGACUUUAGGGCCUCGCGCUAUUGGAGCGGCCGAUGGCAGAUUAGCUAGUUGGUGGGGUAAAGGCCUACCAAGACGACGAUCUGUAGCUGGUCUGAGAGGACGACCAGCCACACUGGGACUGAGACACGGCCCAGACUCCUACGGGAGGCAGCAGUGGGGAAUUUUGGACAAUGGGCGCAAGCCUGAUCCAGCAAUGCCGCGUGUGUGAUGAAGGCCUUCGGGUUGUAAAGCACUUUUGGCAGGAACGAAAAGUGCCGUGCUAAUACCACGGUACGAUGACGGUACCUGCAGAAUAAGCACCGGCUAACUACGUG